AUUGAACGCUGGCGGCAGGCCUAACACAUGCAAGUCGAGCGGAUGAAGGGAGCUUGCUCCUGGAUUCAGCGGCGGACGGGUGAGUAAUGCCUAGGAAUCUGCCUGGUAGUGGGGGAUAACGUCUGGAAACGGGCGCUAAUACCGCAUACGUCCUGAGGGAGAAAGUGGGGGAUCUUCGGACCUCACGCUAUCAGAUGAGCCUAGGUCGGAUUAGCUAGUUGGUGGGGUAAAGGCCUACCAAGGCGACGAUCCGUAACUGGUCUGAGAGGAUGAUCAGUCACACUGGAACUGAGACACGGUCCAGACUCCUACGGGAGGCAGCAGUGGGGAAUAUUGGACAAUGGGCGAAAGCAUGAUCCAGCCAUGCCGCGUGUGUGAAGAAGGUCUUCGGAUUGUAAAGCACUUUAAGUUGGGAGGAAGGGCAGUAAGUUAAUACCUUGCUGUUUUGACGUUACCAACAGAAUAAGCACCGGCUAACUUCGU
rnacentral:rRNA from 1 species